UACAGAGGGUGCGAGCGUUAAUCGGAAUUACUGGGCGUAAAGCGUGCGUAGACGGUAGCGUAAGUCAGAUGUGAAAGCCCCGGGCUCAACCUGGGAAUUGCAUUUGAGACUGCUCUGCUCGGGUGCGGAAGAGGGAAGCGGAAUUUCCGGUGUAGCGGUGAAAUGCGUAGAUAUCGGAAGGAACACCAGUGGCGAAAGCGGCUACCUGGACCAGCACUGACACUGAAGCACGAAAGCGUGGGGAGCAAACAGG
rnacentral:rRNA from 1 species